rnacentral:rRNA from 1 species
CAGCCGCCGCGGUAAUACGAAGGGUGCAAGCGUUACUCGGAAUUACUGGGCGUAAAGCGUGCGUAGGUGGUGGUUUAAGUCCGUUGUGAAAGCCCUGGGCUCAACCUGGGAAUUGCAGUGGAUACUGGAUCACUAGAGUGUGGUAGAGGAUAGUGGAAUUUCCGGUGUAGCAGUGAAAUGCGUAGAGAUCGGGAGGAACAUCUGUGGCGAAGGCGACUAUCUGGGCCAACACUGACACUGAGGCACGAAAGCGUGGGGAGCAAACAGGAUUAGAUACCCCUGUAGUCCCUGUCUCUUAUAC